rnacentral:misc_RNA from 1 species
UAACAGGAAGAAGCUUGCUUCUUUGCUGACGAGUGGCGGACGGGUGAGUAAUGUCUGGGAAACUGCCUGAUGGAGGGGGAUAACUACUGGAAACGGUAGCUAAUACCGCAUAACGUCGCAAGACCAAAGAGGGGGACCUUCGGGCCUCUUGCCAUCGGAUGUGCCCAGAUGGGAUUAGCUAGUAGGUGGGGUAACGGCUCACCUAGGCGAGGAUCCCUAGCUGGUCUGAGAGGAUGACCAGCCUCACUGGAACUGAGACACGGUCCAGAGACCUACGGGAGGCAGCAUGUGGG